ensembl:misc_RNA Metazoa_SRP Metazoan signal recognition particle RNA
GCCGGGCAUGGUGGUGCAUGCCUGUAAUCCCAGCUUCUUGGGAGGCUGAGACAGGAGAAUCACUUGAACCCAGGAGCUGGAGAUUACACUGAGCUGAGAUGGUACGACUGCACUCCAGCCUGGGUGACAGAGCAAGACUCUGUCUCAA